CUCGCCGCCUGCCAAAGCGGACGCCCGCUUCCCGCACGCCGCCGCCGCCGAUCUCGCUCCCUGCCAAACGUGCACCCGCUUCUCCCACGCCCGCACGCCGCCGCCGUUCGCGCCAGAGUCCGCGCCGGCUCCGGGCGGACGCCGGACGCCCUCUCCAUCGAUUCCGCGCCAGCUCCGGGCGGACGCCGGACGUCCUCGCCAUCACCGUCGCCGCCUCCAUGCCGACUCCGCCAUCGCCGAGUCUUCACACGGACGGCGCAACCCUCUGACUCCAGCGUCCAGGGCAAGAACGGGUCGAUUGCCGGACGCCCUCGCCAUCGAGGCCGCGCAAGCUCCGGGCGGACGCCGGACGCCCUCGCCAUCACCGUCGCCGUCGCGUUCGUCCGUCCCCUAUCGACGCAUCGAUCUGCCACCGCCUGCCAGGCGCCAUGCCCCCCGCACAGACGAGCACCUCCAGGAGUCCAGGUCAGUCUCUGAUUCAUGACGCCCGCAGAUUUGCAACCAAUGGCCCGACAUGAUUUUUCUUCUUAUCCCCGUGAUGAACCUCCAAUAGUCUAAUAAGAAAUUAGGAUUUCAUCCGUGGAUCCUUUAGGCCGCGUGACUUCACCUCAAUUCUAUAGAUUGCCUUCAGAUCGACGCGUGCUCAUGGAUGAAUCGUUGGUGAUUCCCCUGCGGGCUCAAGGUACUCUUCAAUUUCCUCAUCUUCUUCUAUUCCCGCGGUUAAUUUCUGUCCAUGGUCAAUUAGGAUUUUUGUUGUUAAUUUCUGUCCAAUAGCAAAUUCCUACGGUUGCUGACGAGCGCCCGCAACCUUGAUAUAUAUACAGUAUGAAGAUCAUGCAAGGUAGAUUCGAUCCCAUUGCUUUGCAAACUGAACCAGCUUUUGCUUAGUUUUCUGAAAUCUUAUUGUUACAUUCUCUCUACUUAACCUGUGUUUACUGAACUCCAUGCUUAGGUCCUUGCAGUAGGCGGGUUCUUGAUGUGGGUCAUCAGUGGCGCAGUGGUGGUUCCUUUGAUGGUUAACUUCGAGAUUGACCUGUCGUCCUACUGGAAAGAUCAUUGAGCUCAGUAGAGUUGAGAUGCACAAGCGCGGAGCUGCAGUAGGAACAACACCAUGUCUACGCUCACUGCCCCUAGCCUGUUCGAUGUUUUGACUGCUUAUCAAAUGGUGGACAACUGGACAUGCUAAUGUAUCAUUGAAAGUCUUUCAUUCACAUAGUUUGAUUGUAGAUUUUAUUGCAGAAUAUAUUCGGAAUUGAAGAACAACUCACUUUUUGCUAAAAUGCUGAUUUUGUCUGACUAUAUCAUGAUUGUAGUCAAGACUGCUAAUCCCACCUUAUUAGGAAUUUCUCAGCAAGGAAGGAGCACAAGCCAGCAUUACUGUUUUUUUUUCACGGAACAUAAUAUUAAGAGAGUUAAGUCACUUUGCCUACUGAUUUUUUUCCUCUUACAGAAUAUUUCUAUGCUUUGUAAAGUUUUGUUUUAACAUCAUGGCCUUCUUGCACAUGUAUGGUCCCUUAUAUGCUGAAACCUUUGAUUGAUUUGUUUGCCCUGCAUAUAUCUGCCAUUGAAGCAUGAAAUAAUUGGUGCUCCUUCAAUUGUCACUAGCACUCCUUAAGUAGCCUUAGGAUUUGGUACCUCAAGCGUAUUUCUUUUUAGAAUCGAUUGACUUUGAUCCGUACACAGCUCCCAUAUAUGAAUUGAAAAAUAGCUAGCUAAUUAAUACUCACGCCGGCACAUAUACGAAUAUAUGAUAAAAUAUCCGGCUGGAGUGUUAAAGAUAUAUUCUUUGACGUAGUUGUGACGUACUCAUCUUUCUUGCAUGCGGCCAUAAGUCAAGUUGGAAUUUCCUUGAUCUCACAUAAUAUGGAGCCAAUCUGCACGAAUUGCUUCUCAUGUUGCUUGCGCAAAUUAACUCCAUAAAAAAAUAGCUUGGUUGACAUAAUAGCUCUACAAGGUAAAUCCUCUUCCUUAAUGAUGAGCCCAUGACUCCGCAAGUUAAUAUUUCAGGUGUUUUAUCAUCUAACAAUACGAAAGAUCCAUCUUUCAUAAACUUUGGUGCAUUUUCAUUUGAUAUAAGGCAAAACAUGACGAAGGAAGAGGAUUUACCUUGUAGAGCUAUUAUGUCAACCAAGCUAAUUUUUUAUGGAGUUAAUUUGCGCAAGCAACAUGAGAAGCAAUUCGUGCAGAUUGGCUCCAUAUUAUGUGAGAUCAAGGAAAUUCCAACUUGACUUAUGGCCGCAUGCAAGAAAGAUGAGUACGUCACAACUACGUCCAAGAAUAUAUCUUUAACACUCCAGCCGGAUAUUUUAUCAUAUAUUCAUAUAUGUGCCGGCGUGAGUAUUAAUUAGCUAGCUAUUUUUCAAUUCAUAUAUGGGUUGGGCUUUUGGGCUAAGUCAGGUACGUAUUAGAGUCUGGUUGUGACGUGGCCUGGUCUACGCCUGCGUGCGUAUAAAUAGCUGCUAGUCAGCCAUGUACUGAUUAGAUUGGAUUUUAUUGUGGAGUUAUUCCCUCGUCGAGCCGCCGCUCGAGAAACCCUAGCGGGUGUUUCCAGAUCCUUGUGGAUUUGCGUGGAGUGCGUGAUCGAGAUUCUUCGGCUCGAGUGCGUCGCUUGGAAUUCUUAGAGUUCCCUCUCUUCUGAUCGUGGUUCACCGCGGGUGGAAGAAAUUAUCUAGGGUUUGGAUUGCAAUCAAUGUAAGCCAAAUCGAUUUAUCUUUGUGCAAGUACUGUUUCAGAUCGUUGAAUUAUUAGCCAUACGUGUGGUGUGUGGCUAUUGCUGUUUGACCGCUGGUUAUUUCAUAUAUCAUGAAUAUUCAGUCUGCUUGCUUGUGCUGAUUGAUCAACGAAGCUGUCGUGGAUUAUGCUGCUUAUCCUUUGUUUGGAUCCGUCAUUAUCUCUGAUACAAGUUAUUGCCGUGAGAGUCAAUCUCGUCCAGUUGUGUAUUGCCGUGACUGCUAGCUGAAUAAAUAAAUUAGUUGCCAUAUUAUCUGUUUGACAUAGCUAUAUUUUUUUCUCCUGCCAUGUUAUAAUCGGCAUUGUUAGAAGUGCUAAUUAACCUAUGACGUUUGAUCUAAAUCCUAGAUGGCUGGUAUGCCACUUUCUAUAGCACUUAUAAUUUUAGGAAGUAUCGAUAAUGGGAGAUAGUUAAUGUUGUUUUGCAACAACAUGACCUUCACGGAUCCUCCAACACCUGAAGAAAAGGGAAAAGGAUCCACAAGAGUCUAUAAAUUAUUGAAAUUGAGUCUCUCGUGAAAUAUUUUGAGAUUGCAAUACUUUGAGUCAGAAAAAUGAUUUAUUGAUUAGCACUUUGAUUUUUUUAAAGCAUUAUCAUACUCUGUAUUUUCCAAAUUAACUUUUUGAUCCUAUUGUUUACAUCAUUCAGACAUCUGUUUUGACUUUUGCAUGUUAUUUUUCACAUACAUUAGCAAAAGCUUAUUUGUAUGGUCAGUUCAACUAUCAUUUCUCCAAUUAAAUCACUGCUAAUUAUUUUCUUUGAACCCUUCAGUUUAUACAUUGUUUACAAGGCCAUGGUAGGCCCCAAAUAUUUUGGCCAAGAUUUGAUCAAUUAUAUGUGGCAUAUAGGAGUAAUAAUAUGUAGUAUUUUUGUUCACAGGUGCAAUAGUUUCCCCCCUUUUAUCACUUUCUCUAGAAGGUAUACUGUGAAAUAUAUGACAUUUGCAUGUCGGGGACGCCAUUGGAGAUGGAUGAGGUGGUGGGAACACAGGACUACAGGAGCAUGGUAGGGCGGAGCUCUGAUCAUAUGGAUAUGCAAAUGGAGCGUCCCGCAUUAAUAUAUGACAUUUUCGGUCUGUGUUUAGGAAUUUAGACUUAUGGAAUCGAUAUUCAAAUCAUUGUAUGGCAUGGAUAUAUAUAACUGAAAAAAUAUAUCUUAUGUACCAUAUUUUUUGUUUAACUUUCCAAUUAUUGCUUUGAAAAUUUGUUGCCUCCUGUGGCAACGUAUGUGCAUAGAACUAUUUGAUGAAAAAUAUAAAUGUAUAUGGAGUUGGCUA